UACGUAGGUGGCAAGCGUUGUCCGGAAUUAUUGGGCGUAAAGCGCGCGCAGGCGGUCCUUUAAGUCUGAUGUGAAAGCCCACGGCUCAACCGUGGAGGGUCAUUGGAAAACUGGGGGACUUGAGUACAGAAGAGAAGAGUGGAAUUCCACGUGUAGCGGUGAAAUGCGUAGAGAUGUGGAGGAACACCAGUGGCGAAGGCGACUCUUUGGUCUGUAACUGACGCUGAGGCGCGAAAGCGUGGGGAGCAAACAGGA
rnacentral:rRNA from 1 species